rnacentral:rRNA from 1 species
ACCUGCCCAUUGAGAUUUAAAAGGCCGCGGUAUUAUGACCGUGCUAAGGUAGCAUAAUCAUUAGUCUUUUAAUUGGAGGCUGGAAUGAAUGGUCGGACAAGAGAUAAGCUGUCUUAAGUAAAAAUAUUGAAUUUAACUUUUAAGUGAAAAGGCUUAAAUUUUCUAGGGGGACGAUAAGACCCUAUAAAACUUUAUAUUUUGAAAUAAUAAUUAAUUUUAUAUGGGAGUUUUAUUUUUAAAUAUUUUAUUGGGGUGAUAGGGAUAAAAUAACAAAUAACUGUCUUUUUUUUUAUUACAAUAAUAUUUGAGCAAAUGAACCUAGUAAGGGAAAGAAGAUUAAGUUACUUUAGGGAUAACAGCGUAAUUUUUUUUAAGAGUUCUUAUCGACAAGAAAGUUUGCGACCUCGAUGUUGAAUUAAAAGUUCUUUAUAGAGCAGAAACUAUAAAAGAAGGUCUGUUCGACCUUUAAAAUUUUAC